GGCCCGUUAGCUCAGUUAGUUAGAGCGUCGUGCUAAUAACGCGAAGGUCGUGGGUUCGAUCCCCCCACGGGCCA
rnacentral:tRNA from 1 species